rnacentral:misc_RNA from 1 species
CUGUACAAGAAGACAGACUCAGAAGCACUCAAGCACGGGCGCCCUUUUGUGUGUUGUGUGUGUCUGCAUCGUCGCUCUGUCGUUUUGCCUCACACUUUCUGCCCUUUCUUUGUUCGUCUCUGUCUCAUUUUCUUUUUUUCUUUGUAUUCUUCGCGUGCGCGUUCUCCCUUUUGCUAGCUGUUCCUUCCCUUGUACUAUCUAAAUGGUAACGCGGGCACUGCAAGAGCGCGAUGAAGACCCACCGUCGCCAUGCCACCGUCGAGGAGGUGAUUGACCCCUCUCCGUUCGACUACACCCUUCUGAGCCACCUCUACGUGCAUUCCGACGGAACGGAUGUGAUCGACUUCAGCGGCCUCGCUCCUGGCAAAGAGAGCCGAUGCCGUGUGAACUCCUUCUUAAAGAACCGCAGCUUCGCUCCAGGGAUGACGGAGGCAGAGCCUGAGGCUGUCGGGUCGUACUUGCACCUGCGCAUCGAGGAAAACGAUCGGAGUACAGUGGACGACUCGGAGUGCUGCAAGAUCCCUGGUGCACACACCUCAGCGCCCCCGAGAGGCGGGUCGGCCCCUGCGUCGAACCUAGUGCGCAUCGAGGACAGCGCGGAGCACUGGUGGUUCAUGUGCCAGGCCGCAGAGGACACUGCACCGUACGCGCGACUCUUCCACGGAGCAGGGGACCUUCUCAGCUACCUAGAGCAGCACAACCUUCAGCUGCCGACAGGCAGGAGCUGGAUGAGCGACCCUUCGACUGACGCAGGGUUGCCGCAUGGCGGACAACCUCAGCCGCACCAGCACAGCAGCAACAGUGUUACCGGCGGCACCACAUCCAUCCUGCCACUGACGAAGUGGCUGGACAUCCAGAUUGACCGCUCGAACCCGCGCAGUGCGGAGCGAGUCGCCCAACUCCUGAAUCGCUUGCCGAUUUCGCAGGAAACCAAGGACAGCUGCUUGUACCUGUCCACGGUUGAUUCGAUCGACAUUAGCCUGCUGGCCACUAGCGACGUUUCCAGCACCAUGUCCGACUAUGUUUUCCUCAACUUGAUGUGCACGCCUGUGGUGGAAAAUGAUGUGAACUGCGCAGGCGCCACGACUGCCACCACCGCGUCGGACGAAAAGAGGUUCCUGCAUGGACUGGGCGGCGGCAAUUUCGGCUUCUCGAGCACGGACAAGAAAAAACGAACGGCGAAGUCGGGAAAGACGCAAAAGCGUAGUGCUGCUCACGUUUCGUCGCAGGGGACCCUCUCGGCCACGCGAAGUGUGAUGGAGAUGCGCUUCGAGGCGGUGCGUAUGGGCGCGCCGCGCUCCUCCGUGCCGGAGCCUGUCGCUGUGGCUGUCAUCGUCUUCGCGGAUUGGAUGUUCACCAUACACGAAAAGCCGUUUGCGGAGAUGGACGACAUGCUGCGCAUGGUGCAGCUACACUGUGCACCAUCAGAGGUGACUACCUCACAUCUGCGCUACGCCGCUGCCCUGUCGCCAACAAUGCAGCGUCGCUUCACUGCGCCGUUUGCGAUGAGUGUUCUCCUGCAAAUUGUGGUGGGGCAUCACCUCGACAGCAUCACCCUCGCCAAGGCGGUCGACGCGCUUGGUGAUUGUGUCUUCGACGUCAGGGAACGAAAGAGGGACCAGGAUGCCGUCUUGAAGCACAUCACUGCCGUUCGGCGCUGCUUUGGCGAGUGCGGUACCGAGACAGCACGGCGUGAGGUGCUCUUCGCAUCUCUGCUGCAGCCCAUGUUUGCAGACAGGUUCUUUGUGGCUGAUCCUACCAUUCGCCGUGAACUGGAGAACGCCCAGGCGCACUUGCGGCACUUCCAGCGAGACAUUGCGGAUUGCCGCGACACGGUCGCCCUCUCGAACUGGCAUAACAAUGUCGCCAUUCAGUGGGUGCUGCUGCGCCGCGGUAACCGUGCUCUUCGCAUGGUCCUCCUCCUCGCGCAAAUGACAAACAUCAUGCAGCCAAUCGUGAUUGUGCAGACGCUCUACGCCAUGAACGUCCCGUUGCCAUUUGAGGCGGACGGCGACCCACCGCACACGACGCUGGCGCCGUUUUUUGUCUUGGCCGCUAUCUUCCUCAUCUACUGCGGUCUCACUGUUGGGUCCAUUCGACACGUGCUUGUUCGUAAGUCCUUCGAGACACGGCUACUGGCCUAAGUGCGCCAAUAAGAGCAGCACGCGUAGUCCGUAAAUUUUGACUGCACAUCAAGAUAACCCUAUCUCUCAAAAGGAAAGUAUCUAAGAGGCGUGGCAAAAAGAAAAAUGGGUGUGGGGAAGCAGAACAGAGGAAGGUGGACGAAAAAGGCAUUAGUUGCGUAUGCUGAUGGUGAGUCGAAAAGAGGGGCGGCGAGACCGUCAUGCACACAGUCGUCACACAAUCUGUCUUCUCAAGCCAAGACCGCGGUUUACACAUAUGUGAAAAGUAGCGUGUGACAAGAGUGCGAGAGCUGCUCACCAUUGCGUCUCUUUUCCUCUCGCUUUGCAUGUUCAUCCCCACAAGGGUGUGCUCCUUCGCCGCCUGUCCUCAGGUGCUUUUCUCUGUCUCACGCCACUUCCGCGGCUUCGUAAGCUUGUUGGAGUGCUGUUGUUGCGCCCUUGCCACCCUCAUCCUCAGCGCUACGUUUUCUCUCUGUGUUGUUUUUGUGACGGCAAAGAAAGUUGAUCUCCCUCCCUCCCUCUCUCUCUCUUUGUUGGUGCGUUAAAGCACUCAUGCGCAAGUCACGGGCGCACGAGAGCACCACCCCGGGCGCUCGACGAUGAGAAGGAGCGCGGAAAACCAGAACGAACGAAACAGAAAACCAUUUGACCUUGCCAGACGUGCAAAGCGACGGUGUUUUUUUUUUGUUGUUUUUGUUUUUUUGUUGUUGGUUGUUCAUGUGCGUGCGUGUGUGGACGUCUGCGAGUCACGGAGACGUGGGCAAAGCAACAG